rnacentral:tRNA from 1 species
CUCUGUAGCUCAGUCGGUAGAGCAAAGGACUGAAAAUCCUUGUGUCGCCAGUUCGAUUCUGGCUGGAGC